rnacentral:rRNA from 1 species
UAAUUUGAGAGUUUGAUCCUGGCUCAGGACGAACGCUGGCGGCGUGCCUAAUACAUGCAAGUCGAACGAACUCUGGUAUUGAUUGGUGCUUGCAUCAUGAUUUACAUUUGAGUGAGUGGCGAACUGGUGAGUAACACGUGGGAAACCUGCCCAGAAGCGGGGGAUAACACCUGGAAACAGAUGCUAAUACCGCAUAACAACUUGGACCGCAUGGUCCGAGCUUGAAAGAUGGCUUCGGCUAUCACUUUUGGAUGGUCCCGCGGCGUAUUAGCUAGAUGGUGGGGUAACGGCUCACCAUGGCAAUGAUACGUAGCCGACCUGAGAGGGUAAUCGGCCACAUUGGGACUGAGACACGGCCCAAACUCCUACGGGAGGCAGCAGUAGGGAAUCUUCCACAAUGGACGAAAGUCUGAUGGAGCAACGCCGCGUGAGUGAAGAAGGGUUUCGGCUCGUAAAACUCUGUUGUUAAAGAAGAACAUAUCUGAGAGUAACUGUUCAGGUAUUGACGGUAUUUAACCAGAAAGCCACGGCUAACUACGUGCCAGCAGCCGCGGUAAUACGUAGGUGGCAAGCGUUGUCCGGAUUUAUUGGGCGUAAAGCGAGCGCAGGCGGUUUUUUAAGUCUGAUGUGAAAGCCUUCGGCUCAACCGAAGAAGUGCAUCGGAAACUGGAAAACUUGAGUGCAGAAGAGGACAGUGGAACUCCAUGUGUAGCGGUGAAAUGCGUAGAUAUAUGGAAGAACACCAGUGGCGAAGGCGGCUGUCUGGUCUGUAACUGACGCUGAGGCUCGAAAGUAUGGGUAGCAAACAGGAUUAGAUACCCUGGUAGUCCAUACCGUAAACGAUGAAUGCUAAGUGUUGGAGGGUUUCCGCCCUUCAGUGCUGCAGCUAACGCAUUAAGCAUUCCGCCUGGGGAGUACGGCCGCAAGGCUGAAACUCAAAGGAAUUGACGGGGGCCCGCACAAGCGGUGGAGCAUGUGGUUUAAUUCGAAGCUACGCGAAGAACCUUACCAGGUCUUGACAUACUAUGCAAAUCUAAGAGAUUAGACGUUCCCUUCGGGGACAUGGAUACAGGUGGUGCAUGGUUGUCGUCAGCUCGUGUCGUGAGAUGUUGGGUUAAGUCCCGCAACGAGCGCAACCCUUAUUAUCAGUUGCCAGCAUUAAGUUGGGCACUCUGGUGAGACUGCCGGUGACAAACCGGAGGAAGGUGGGGAUGACGUCAAAUCAUCAUGCCCCUUAUGACCUGGGCUACACACGUGCUACAAUGGAUGGUACAACGAGUUGCGAACUCGCGAGAGUAAGCUAAUCUCUUAAAGCCAUUCUCAGUUCGGAUUGUAGGCUGCAACUCGCCUACAUGAAGUCGGAAUCGCUAGUAAUCGCGGAUCAGCAUGCCGCGGUGAAUACGUUCCCGGGCCUUGUACACACCGCCCGUCACACCAUGAGAGUUUGUAACACCCAAAGUCGGUGGGGUAACCUUUUAGGAACCAGCCGCCUAAGGUGGGACAGAUGAUUAGGGUGAAGUCGUAACAAGGUAGCCGUAGGAGAACCUGCGGCUGGAUCACCUCCUUU